rnacentral:rRNA from 1 species
GCUGCAACUCGCCUGCACGAAGUCGGAAUUGCUAGUAAUCGUAGGUCAGCAUACUACGGUGAAUACGUUCCCGGGCCUUGUACACACCGCCCGUCAAACCAUGAGAGUUGGCAACACCCGAAGUCGGUAGUCUAACCGCAAGGAGGACGCCGCCGAAGGUGGGGUUGAUGAUUAGGGUUAAGUCGUAACAAGGUACC